CCUUUGCUUUUACAAGCUUCAGAGCUAAGAAGAUGGAUCUCUCUUCGGCCUAUCAGCUCAUUUUGCAGAUGGGAAAACAGGUCCAGCAGGGCCCCUUACUUGCUCCAGGACACAUGGAGAGAUGGGGCAGGAGCUUGCUUCAGGUCCCCCUGCUGGCACACAGGUGUGUGGAAUGAUCCAGAAAGUGGGCAAAUGAGUUCCUUCCCUGCCCCAUGGCUGGGGUGGUGUGUCUGUCUGGGAGGCCCUGCCCUCAUCCAGCCUCCCACCAUUCAUUUCUUCUUUAUGGUCCAGUUUACGGGAAGCUUCCUCCUCCAGGAAGCUCUCCUGAUUUGUCCUCCUUAGAACUCCUGGGGCUCUUUUCUCUGCUCCACUUUGGGGGCAGUGAUUUGUGAUUGAAAGGAACACAGGCCCAUCUCCAUUACUUACCAGCAGUGUGACUUGAGCAGGCGGGCACCUUUGUUAUCUGAGCCUUGCCUUCCUCAUCUGUAAAUGGGGCCAGUGGUCCCUGCCUCAAAAGUGAUCAUUUGGAGGAGACCCUAGCGAAGCCGGGUGGAGGGCUAGCAGGUGAGUGCCUGAAGUGGGCUGUGGAAGAAGAACACAAGGCCCCCCGCCCCUUUUUUUUGAGACUGAGUCUUGCUCUAUCACCCAGGCUGGAGUGCAGUGGCGUGAUCCUGGCUCACUGCAACCUCUGCCUCCCGGGUUCAAGUGAUUCUUGUGCCUCAGCCUCCCAAGUAGCUGGAAUCACAGGUGUGUGCCAUCAUGCCCGGCUAAGUUUUGUAUCGUUAGGAGAGAUGGGGUUUCACCAUGUUGGCCAGGCUGGUCUUGAACUCCUGACCUCAAGUGAUCCACCAGCCUCAGCCUCCCAAAGUGCUGGGAUUAUAGGCGUGGGCCAUAGUGCCUGGCCCCACUCCUCUGUUGAAAGUUCAUCUGUUUGGGGUUGAAAAAUGGGUCCAAACUGCCAGGUGGGGAAAACCCUGGGUGAGAAUCUGUUAGAACUUGCCACCUUUAUGUCCAGUGCCCCUGGGCUGGACAGAGAGGCCACGUUCUCUGCCACUGCAGCUCUGUGCGCUUCACGGAGGGGUGAGGAGGCCGGUGGGGGCAGGGUGGGAGUUGUAGCCCCUCCUCAGUGUCAGAACUGAGUUGUUCUCCUCACCUCAGGGGUGUGAACCCCAGCUUCUAAAAGCAGGAGGCCCCCAUGGCCCAUCCCACCCAGAGAGUGGCUGAAGGGCCUAGCCUGGCCUGGCCGAGACUUCUCUGUUGCCAACCUGGCCCCGAGGCCUCCAGGAAGUGAGGCUUUUAUUUUGAGCCUAGAGCAUCAGCCUGGAACCAGGACUUCGCUCUGAGCUCACUGUGAGGCGAGCGUUGGUUUCCCAGGGGACCCCACCCUGCCAAGGGAAGUGGCACAAAGCACCCCCUAAUGAGGCAGGAAGCAAAGCCAUGAGCUGCACUGCCUCAGCCCUGCACAGGGGCUGCUUGGGACAAGGCACCCGUCCCCCAGCCUCAAUUUCCUCCCUGGUCAAGUGGGAUUCAGUAACUACCAUUUGUGGCACCGGAAAAAUGGCAGCUGCCACGGGGGCCUCCAUUUUACAGAUGAGGAAACAGGCUCAGGAGGGCAAGUGACUCUGCAGCCUGUGUUAGAUAAAGAACCCGAGCCCAGGUGUCUGCUCCAGGUGGAGGCAGGGAAGGCAGCCUUCCUGGCAGCCAUGGGAUGGGGGAGGGGGUCAGCUCUGCCAUCCCCAGAGCCUUGUUCUGAGAAGCACAGAGCCCAUGUGUAAAGAGCUGAUUUCAAUUUUACCUGCAAAAUCAGAAAAAUAUGGGACUCAUGUUAGAACCUGUCUCUCAAGACUGGCGCGAGGUUGACACGAGAGAGUGUAUGGUCAGUCGGCCCUCCCUAUCCGCAGGUUCCACAUCGUGGAUUGCAGAUUGAAAAUACUCAGAUGCAGAGCCCGUGAUACAGAGGGCCGACUGUAUAAGUUCAGAAGAGGACCUGGCGUCUAAUAAAUGCACAACAAUAAUAAGGCCCCACCCCUGCCAAACCGGUGGAUCCGUGUGUUCCCCCAGCCAACUGCUGCCAUUUACUGAGGCCUGCUGCGUAUUCAGCACAUGGAUGACGCCAAAUCACAGUUUACUAAGAGGAACGUCUUGCCGUUUCCUGAAUGCGUCUCAUGCACACUGGCCUCUGCUCAUGCCCUUUCCUCUGCCUGGAACACUUUUUCCAUUGCUCUUUCGGGGAAUCUUCUUCAAGAUCCACCUCCUCUGAGAAGCCCGCCCUGACCCCUACGGUUGGACCCUGAGCUCUGGGUGUUGACCCAGAGCCCUGUGUGCUGGGUCCCUGGGAGUCGUGCCCUCUGGCCUGGAUGCUCGUUUGGGUCUUGACCCAGCCUGAUUCAUCUUCAUGAUCCCGUGGAACCUGGCACAGGAGGUGCCAGCCAAUCUCUAUUUGAUUUUUGCAAACCUUUUCUUGAUGUAUAAUUUACCUAUAGAAAAGCACAGCUAUCUUAAGUGCACACCUUGGUGGGCUUCUACAAGGUGAACACACCCAUGUGACCUCCACCCAAACUAAGAAAUCAGACCAGCACCCAGAGGCCCCUAGAGCCCCCGCCUCGCCACUGCCCCGCCCCCACUGACUUCUGCCUGUCUAUGUAGUUCUAUAAUACAUACAUCUGUAGAAUUACGUAGAAAUGAAAUUCUGCAGCGCGUGUUCUUUUGUGAGCACUUCUUUCUCCCAACGUUAUGUUUGGGAGCUUCGUCUGUGUGGUUGCGGGUAGCUAACUCAUUUUUUCCAUUGCUGUGUAUACUCCAUUGUAUGAAUCUACCACAAUGCAUUUGCCUGUUUUCCUGCAAAAUAACAUUUGGAUUGAUUCCAGCUUGGGGCUGUUACAAAUAAGGCAGCCAUGGCCACCAGGCUCCGUGCUGGGUGUCCACACACAGGCACCUGUGCUGCUCAGUUGAUCUUUCUGAAUCACUGUCUUCAAUGAUUUACUUCUCACACCCACUCCAGGAGGUGGAUGGAUUCUUCUCUCCCUUCUACAGAUGAGGAAAUGUUACAGAUGAAGUAACAUGGCCAGGCCAGGAUCCCACAGGGGAUCAGCGGCUGCACUGGGGUUCUCACUGAGGUCUGUGAGCCCCAGAGCCCAGUGGAGGGAGGAGGGGAUGAGGUGGAGGCGGCGGGUGAGGACGAGAACUGCGGAAGAGUGAAGAGGAGAGAGAAGCCAGGCUCUGGGGAGCUGCAGGCAGCCAGGCCGGGCUGCUGCGGAGUGCGUGGCCCCAGGAAUGGGGGCGUCUGGUGGUAUCUGGGCUGGCUGGAGAGGUGGUUGGGGAGAUAGUGCUCUUGGGGGGCUGGCCCCCACUGAGCCCUCAUAAGCUCUGACCAGAAGCACAGGGUGGGGAAGGGGAGCUUCCUCUUGAUGGUGACACAUCUGACUCCCUUCUCACAUCCUCCUCCCAGGCAACCCAGGGAAAUCAGGGUGGGCAGGUGAGGUUGAGGGGACUGAGCUUCAGGGAGGGGCCAUAAUAAUAAUGAUGAUGGCAGAAGUGUGAGGCUGUAGGACACAGGGUCAGGGUGGAGCAGCCCUGAGGGGGAGGGGCAAGGGAGGGCUCUGGCACUUGGGACCCAUAUGGCAAACUGCAUUGUCUGUUGGGAAGGGUUGAAGACAAGCCCGGGCCUGUCUUCUUGUGCAGCCUCUGUCCUGGGCUCGCACAUUUGGUAGGAGGAGCCAAUGAAGUAAACGGAUAGGAAAGUGUCCACACUCUGGCUGGCACGGGUGUGUGCUCACUGACGGCUGGGUCCUUUCUCUAUAACCUUUACCUCCCUGAAAAUCUCAGAUGGUGGGUCUCCGCCUGCCUGCUUCUGAGACGGUGGGUCCUGGGCCUCAGGGAGUGAGAGAGAGUGGGCCUGCUCUCCUGCAGAAGGGACUGGUCUUUGAACCCCAGAAUCGGGGGUUCUUGUGUCAUCACCACCAUCCACAUGAUAUUCCUUAUCACCAUCCUAUCCUGAUGUCCCCAUUGCCGUCACCCCCAUCACUGUCACCAACAUCACCAACAGCAUCUCUGAUCAUCACUGUCAUCACCACGCCAACUCCAACAACAUCCCAACAGCCACUCCCCGCCUCACAUGGUCACCAUGGCCAGUGCCUCCCAGGUGACACCUGGUGCACUGUUUUCACCGCAUCCCCUCUGGUACCGCCAUCCUUAUUGCCCAGCCAUGUUCAAUACUGACCCCAUUGUCCCCAUCUUCCCUGAUUUCCAUCCUCCAGCCCCUGCCCCCAUUCUUUUAGCUCAACCUGUUGCUUGCUCCUCAGAGCCACCAGGAAAAGAAACAAAUCCCCCUGCCCCUGGCCACUUCCCCAACUGGCCAGCUUGGGGAAGCUGUGUUUGUCAUUAAGAAAGAAAGGCUGCGUGCAGACGGGAAUAAGAACUGAAACCAAAGAUGGGCAGAAGAAGAGGUGAAAAGCGGGAAAGGAGAGUGGGGGUGGGAAGGGUGGCUGAGCAUGGCUGGGACCGCAGCCUGAGCCUGGCUUGGAGGCAGGAGGACAGAGCUGAUUUUGACCCUGCGACAGUUUUGGUGUGUGACCUUGGGCUGGUCGCUGUCUCUCUCUGGGCCAUAUUUCCCCGCUGGUAACAUCCUCCUCUCAGGGAAGAGACACUCCCGUGCCUUCUGAGUUUCCCUGAAGGGACUGAAACACACCUGCACCACCAGGCCUGUGGCUUUUGCACAUGAUGUCUGCUCUUUUGGAAUGCUUUCUUCUCUUCUGUGUUGGAAAACUCCUACUUGCCCCUCAAAGCCACGCUCAUGGGUUUCCUGUUGGUGAAAUUCUCCCUAAGUUUUUUAGACAGCAAUGCGCUCUCCCUCAUCAAGGACCCCAAGCCCCAUGCGUGUCCUCUGUCAUGGCUCUGAGCACACCAUUCAUGUAUCGAGUUCCCUGGAGACUGUGACACCGGCACGCCAGGGUCAGUGGCUUUUCUAGACAGAGUUUGGAGGCGGUAGGUGCUCAGAGAGUGUUUACUGAGAGUCAGUGAAUGCCCAGAGGUAGCAAAAACCACCACCCAAUUGUGCUUGUUUAUGGUGCACCUGCUGUGUGCCCGGCUCCGCGCACCACACGAUUCCAUUUGACCUCAGCAAUCCUGUGAGGCAGGUCAGUGAUUAUCCCCAUUCCUCAGAUGAGGAGCCGAGGCCCAGAGAGGUUAGUGGCUGGCUCAAGGGUGCAGAGCUCGGCUGGGGCCUGGGGCCAUCUGACCCCAGCACCCGAGCUCUUAUCUUCAUGAUCUCACCAGCAUAGAAUGAAGGGACAGUGGGUGAAAAGAUGCUGUAAUUGGGGAGCAAGUGGGUGAGGGCAUGCUGUCUGCCUGCGCAUUGUUGGGGGAGAGAAGCCUUGUACCUGUCAUGGGAUGGCUCGGGUCCCAAGGUCACAGCCCAGCUGGGCUCUCAGAGCUUGGGGAGAAGGCAGCGCUGUGUCCAGGUGGAAACCGGGGACAUGAGGGGAAGGCAAGGGCUUGGAGGCUUGGAAAUGUUGACUGUCUGCAUACUCUGUAGGUCGGCCAGGUACUUUCCAGGAACUACCAACAGCUGUUGGUUAGGGACAUGGGUGGGGCAGUGAGGGCCUUCUGAGGGGCAGGGUGCUGGCCCUGGGGUGGCUGGGGGUGGAGGACUGUGGGCAGCCUGGGUGAGAUGUCCUACAGUGUGUAGGAGCUCCACCCCACUGACCCUCCUGCGUUCUGUCAUCCCAAUGGCCCCAGGGGAAAAUGAGGGUCUCUUCUCAUUGACCAGAAUCGAAAGCUGAGGCCAGGGAGAAGCCAGAACCUGGCCAGGGCCACACAGCAGUGAGGCAGUGGAGGAGGCCUCCUGCUCCCCAGCUCUUGUCUCCUGAGCUCUGAGUGGCUGGGGCUGGGGCUUGGUUGCCAGGGAAGGGUGGGCAGAUGGCUAGAGAGAUCCUGGAGCCUCAGGGGAGCAAGUUCAACCUUGUGGGGAGCCCUGACCCCAGGAGAGAGGCAACAGGGUUCACACCCCAGCCGGGCCACGUGACACAGGACAUGUGAGUUCUCUCUCAGCCUCCAUUUCCUCAUCUGUAAAACGGGAAAAUGUUGCCUGUCUUGUAAAGUUUUGGGAGAUUGCAGUGCAAGCCUGUGCGUGCAGGUCUGAGCACACAGUAGGUGCUGAAUAAAUGUGAGUUCCUCUCCAUCCUAUGUCCUAGAGAGCCACAUGGGUGCCUGGAGAGCCGAGCUUCCUCCCUUUCUCCUGGGUCAGGGCCUGGCAUCUUCGUGGAAGGUCGGGGCCCCUCAGAGUCUAAGUCAGGCUCUGAGGUUGCCUCGCUCUGUGACUGUGGGCUGGUCCCCUGCCCUCUAUGAGUCUCGUGAGCCAUCCGGCAAUGGGGACAAAGUCCUCCCUCGUCCCCUGCCGCAGGGUUGUUGAGAAAAGGUGAAAUGGGGGAGGGUGAGCCUGGGUUUUAAAUGCAGGUGGUUUUCACAAAAGUAGAAAUACCUCUGGUGCCUGGUGCUGGGGCUGAGGGGAGGGAGGGGGGACUGCAGAGGGAGAGGGGAUGGGGGCGCCUCUCUGCCUCCACUGAGGCACUGAGGGGAAGGGUUAGGCCUUAGGCAGAGCCCGGGUGGCUGGAAGAUGCCGGGCAGCGGAGGGAAUUGGCCAAGAUUUGAACCCUAGCCCUGCAUAUGACCAGCUGGGAGGCCUUGGGCAAGGCCCUGGACCUCUCUGAGCUGCACUUUCUUCGUCUGUGAAAUGGGAAGGAAAGUAUUAAGAAUAGUCCCUUUUCUGGGUAGUGGGGAAGAUCAUGUGGCAUGGAGUUAGGCUGUACAAAUGUCCCCUUCUUCCCCUGGGGUGAUUGGAGGGGUUACAGGGCAGUAAGGGAUGCUUGGAGGAGAACAGAGGAGUUGUAGGGGGAGUUGAGGAUUAGUAGAGGUCUCUAAAGUCGGGUAAUGUCCAAGGUGACCUCAUGGCCUCAGGAGGACAAUAUUAAAAUUUCUAAAUUUUUCCAUCAUAUAAUUUUUUAAUUUCUGGAAAUUUUUUAGUAGCUGUUUUAUGAUGUUCAUGAUAAACUAGGACAGCAACACAUGCGUGUAAUUUAGAAAGAAAGAAAAAUAGAGGCGUGUGUGCAAAAGGUUUUACUGACAUAGAUGCAUGAUCAAAAUAUCUAAGUCCUCUCCGGGGUUCAGGCUAGCAGGGCUCUGAGGCAUUUUGGGGGUCAGGGGAAUGGGAAGGCAUCAGAACAGCACUGGGAGACUUGGGCUCCUCCCUCAACUUGCUGUGUGUCCUUGGGCAAGCCACCUAAUCUCUCUGAGUUUAUAAAACAAGCAGAGGAAGCUUAUAAAACAAGUACAUGCAGGCUCCUUCUAGCAAGGGGAGGUUGAGAUGAUCUGAUUCUAGGCUUUGUUCCAGAUCUCAGAUAAUCCUGGAAUCUUGAGACUUUGAAAGUCUUCUCAUUUCACAGCUGGCAGAUGCUCAUGGUCCUUCUCUAAGCCCAGCUGUGACUCAUCUGUGAUCUGCUUACAUACUCCCAGGAACAGGGAGCUCACCACUUCACAGGACACCCCGUUCUGUGCUGGACGGAGCUGUCAUCUGCCUCCCUUUCUCUUUCUCUCGUUCAAGGUGAAACUGAGAGGAGAGGGGCUGCGGCCUGGCCUUUAGGGGCUGAGGAAGGAGUUUUUUUCUCUCAGGGCUGUUUCCUGUGAGUGUCAGCCACAGCCCUCACCACACCUGCCUUCUUUUUGGGGUGUUCUCAACUUUCCUGAUGAGACAAAGCCUUUCCAGCUCACUCUUUAGCAGGUAGAGGGGGCAGUUAGAGCAUGCACCGUGCUCCUGGUACUACUGCCGAACCACGUAAGCUUGCCCCAGCCAAAAGCAGAUUCUGUUUGCUGGGCACCCCCUGCCAGUCCCUGAGCUCAGUGCUUUGCAAAUAUAAUGCAAUUUAAUCUUCACUAAAUCCAGUGAUUGCAAUUUUCCAGAUGAGGAAACUCAGAGAGGUUAAGAGACUUGCCCAAGGUCACACAGUGACCUGGAUUCAAAAUCCUCUUGAUCUGAUUCUGGAGCCCAGCUCUUCAUCACUCUUCCGUUCAGUCCCUUUCCACGCCCCUAAACAGGAUGUAAUGUGGCAGGAAGACAAGUUGAGACCUGUGUCUGAGCUAAAAAAAAAAAAAAAAAAAAAACCCACA